UACGUAGGGGGCUAGCGUUGUCCGGAAUCAUUGGGCGUAAAGAGCGUGUAGGCGGCCCGAUAAGUCCGCUGUGAAAGUCCAGGGCUCAACCCUGGAAAGCGGGUGGAUACUGCCGGGCUAGAAUCCGGAAGAGGCGAGUGGAAUUCCUGGUGUAGCGGUGAAAUGCGCAGAUAUCAGGAGGAACACCGAUGGCGAAGGCAGGUCUCUGGGCAUUAACUGACGCUGAGGAGCGAAAGCAUGGGGAGCGAACAGG
rnacentral:rRNA from 1 species